AUUGAAAAAGGCAACAGAAGCGUGUCGUAAAAAUUGCCUAUGUUGCAUUUUUCAAUGU
rnacentral:pre_miRNA from 1 species